rnacentral:rRNA from 1 species
UUAAUUGAAGAGUUUGAUCAUGGCUCAGAUUGAACGCUGGCGGCAGGCCUAACACAUGCAAGUCGAGCGGCAGCACAGAGGAACUUGUUCCUUGGGUGGCGAGCGGCGGACGGGUGAGUAAUGCCUGG